AGGGAAUCUUCCACAAUGGACGCAAGUCUGAUGGAGCAACGCCGCGUGAGUGAAGAAGGUUUUCGGAUCGUAAAGCUCUGUUGUUGGUGAAGAAAGAUAGUGAGAGUAACUGCUCAUUAUUUGCCGGUAAUCAACCAGAAAGUCACGGCUAACUACGUG
rnacentral:rRNA from 1 species